CCUACGGGAGGCAGCAGUAGGGAAUCUUCCGCAAUGGACGAAAGUCUGACGGAGCAACGCCGCGUGAGUGAUGAAGGUUUUCGGAUCGUAAAACUCUGUUGUUAGGGAAGAACAAGUAUCGUUCAAAUAGGGCGGUACCUUGACGGUACCUAACCAGAAAGCCACGGCUAACUACGUGCCAGCAGCCGCGGUAAU
rnacentral:rRNA from 1 species